GGAUACUAGUCGGAUUUGCUUCCACUGUGCCACAAUGGAAACUCUUACAUAUAUUUCUUAGUUUCUUAUCUAGGUUUAAAAUUCCUUACUAGCAAAGAUAUUAAUAAUAAAAACAAGAAGUAAAAAUAAAACGUCUUUUUUUUUUGUAGCAUUACAAUGCUUCAGGCACAAUGUUAAUCAUUUUAUCUACUCAAUUUCAUUUAAUUUCUUACAACAGAUUUAGAGAAUGAGGUUAUAUUACCUGAAUUCUAGAUCAGAACGUAGGGCUUAGAGGCUAAGCAAGUUUCAAGACUAUUAUUCUAAUGAAUAACAUCGCUAUUAAAACUCAGACUUGUCAGAUGCUCUUACAUGUCUGCUUAUAUUACUCUAUGAACAAAACUGUCAUCAAAGGAAAAUGAAAAGCACAACCUAAAAGUUGAGAAUUCUAUUUUAUUCAGGAUAUUACUAGGAUUGCAGCCUGGAAAUAGCCUCUCACCUCUGAGGAAAUGUUCUGAAGAGGUACUGGAGGAGCCAGGAUAUACAGGGGUCUUUGUAGAAAAUAAAAUAAAAUAAAAUAAAAGACAGGUAGUGGAACAUCAAAAGAUUGGUGCUAGUUACACCCACACUCCCCCCCACUCCCCCGACCAUCACGAGUUAAAAAUGUAGCGCUUUUCUCUGUAAUGGGAAGAUAGGAAAAUCUGGGCAUAUUGAAAUUCUUUCUUUGGUAUGCGCCUUAGAUAUCUAAGACCAAUAUCCUAUUUUUCUCCAUCCUCAUCUCCAUUCUGAGUCUACUCAAGGUGCUACAGGGUGGCUGCAGUGGCUGAUGGCUUUAUGGCUGCAACAUCCUUUUUACUGAAAUGUCAGAUCAGGAAACUGGGACCAGAGAUGUUAGGAUGCUAAAUCCAAGCUAUGAAGUGGAAGAAUUGGCUUAUGAACACUGGCAAUCUGGCUCCAGAACUCAAGUGCCUAAAUGAAUAUUAAUCAUAGGUCUUUCUGUGCAAUUCAAACGUGCAUAAGUGAAAUCACAUUUCUUAAGGCCAGAGUCAUCAAUGGGAGAAUUGGAAUGAGCUAAAGGGAUAAAGAUUCUAUAAGCUCUCACUCCAGGAUCCUUCAUCUAAAUUCAGGUAGCUGAUGUCAUGGGAUGAGACUGGUGUUGAAUUAGAAGAGCUGCACAGAAGUCUUGGAAGCUGUGCACAAAUAGGUACACCUCUAUUAACCUUAUGUCCUCAUCUGUAAAAAGUAGGAGACAGAACCUGCCCUCUGAACUCACAGGUUCAUGAUCAAGAUUAAAUGAAAUAAAGUGUGUGAAAGUAAUGAAUAAACUGUAAGACAUU